UACGUAGGGGGGCGAGCGUUUAUCCGGAAUCAUUGGGCGUAAAGCGCGUGUAGGCGGUUCAGUAAGUCCGCUCUGAAAGCCCAGGGCUCAACCCUGGGAGGCGGGUGGAUACUACUGGACUAGAGUACGGAAGAGGAGAUUGGAAUUCCUGGUGUAGCGGUGAAAUGCGCAGAUAAUCAGGAGGAACACCAACAGCGAAGGCAGAUCUCUGGGACGUAACUGACGCUGAGACGCGAAAGCGUGGGGAGCAAACAGG
rnacentral:rRNA from 1 species